rnacentral:rRNA from 1 species
UCCAGACUCCUACGGGAGGCAGCAGUGAGGAAUAUUGGUCAAUGGGCGGAAGCCUGAACCAGCCAAGUCGCGUGAGGGAAGAAGGCCCUGCGGGUCGCAGACCUCUUUGGACGGGGAGCAAGGCCGCCGACGUGUCGGCGGAAGGAGAGUACCCGUAGAACAAGCAUCGGCUAACUCCGUGCCAGCAGCCGCGGUAAUACGGAGGAUGCGAGCGUUAUCCGGAUUUAUUGGGUUUAAAGGGUGCGUAGGCGGAAUGCCAAGUCAGCGGUAAAAUCGCGGGGCUCAACCUCGCUCCGCCGUUGAAACUGGCGUUCUUGAGUGGGCGAGAAGUAUGCGGAAUGCGUGGUGUAGCGGUGAAAUGCGUAGAUAUUAGGAGGAACACCAGUGGCGAAGGCGGUCUGCUGGACAGCAACUGACGCUGAGGCGCGAAAGCGUGGGGAGCAAACAGGAUUAGAUACCCCGGUA